AUUGAACGCUGGCGGCAGGCCUAACACAUGCAAGUCGAGCGGUAGCACAGAGAGCUUGCUCUCGGGUGACGAGCGGCGGACGGGUGAGUAAUGUCUGGGAAACUGCCUGAUGGAGGGGGAUAACUACUGGAAACGGUAGCUAAUACCGCAUAANGUCGCAAGACCAAAGUGGGGGACCUUCGGGCCUCAUGCCAUCAGAUGUGCCCAGAUGGGAUUAGCUAGUAGGUGGGGUAACGGCUCACCUAGGCGACGAUCCCUAGCUGGUCUGAGAGGAUGACCAGCCACACUGGAACUGAGACACGGUCCAGACUCCUACGGGAGGCAGCAGUGGGGAAUAUUGCACAAUGGGCGCAAGCCUGAUGCAGCCAUGCCGCGUGUAUGAAGAAGGCCUUCGGGUUGUAAAGUACUUUCAGCGGGGAGGAAGGCGAUAAGGUUAAUAACCUUGUCGAUUGACGUUACCCGCAGAAGAAGCACCGGCUAACUCCGUGCCAGCAGCCGCGGUAAUACGGAGGGUGCAAGCGUUAAUCGGAAUUACUGGGCGUAAAGCGCACGCAGGCGGUCUGUCAAGUCGGAUGUGAAAUCCCCGGGCUCAACCUGGGAACUGCAUUCGAAACUGGCAGGCUAGAGUCUUGUAGAGGGGGGUAGAAUUCCAGGUGUAGCGGUGAAAUGCGUAGAGAUCUGGAGGAAUACCGGUGGCGAAGGCGGCCCCCUGGACAAAGACUGACGCUCAGGUGCGAAAGCGUGGGGAGCAAACAGGAUUAGAUACCCUGGUAGUCCACGCCGUAAACGAUGUCGAUUUGGAGGUUGUGCCCUUGAGGCGUGGCUUCCGGAGCUAACGCGUUAAAUCGACCGCCUGGGGAGUACGGCCGCAAGGUUAAAACUCAAAUGAAUUGACGGGGGCCCGCACAAGCGGUGGAGCAUGUGGUUUAAUUCGAUGCAACGCGAAGAACCUUACCUGGUCUUGACAUCCACAGAACUUAGCAGAGAUGCUUUGGUGCCUUCGGGAACUGUGAGACAGGUGCUGCAUGGCUGUCGUCAGCUCGUGUUGUGAAAUGUUGGGUUAAGUCCCGCAACGAGCGCAACCCUUAUCCUUUGUUGCCAGCGGUUNGGCCGGGAACUCAAAGGAGACUGCCAGUGAUAAACUGGAGGAAGGUGGGGAUGACGUCAAGUCAUCAUGGCCCUUACGACCAGGGCUACACACGUGCUACAAUGGCAUAUACAAAGAGAAGCGACCUCGCGAGAGCAAGCGGACCUCAUAAAGUAUGUCGUAGUCCGGAUUGGAGUCUGCAACUCGACUCCAUGAAGUCGGAAUCGCUAGUAAUCGUAGAUCAGAAUGCUACGGUGAAUACGUUCCCGGGCCUUGUACACACCGCCCGUCACACCAUGGGAGUGGGUUGCAAAAGAAGUAGGUAGCUUAACCUUCGGGAGGGCGCUUACCACUUUGUGAUUCAUGACUGGGGUGAAG
rnacentral:rRNA from 1 species